CUCAGUAGUGCCUUUGUGUUUCUCCUGCAGGAGAACCGUCAGUGGGGCCCUUCCAGUCCCUGCACGCAGAGUAAAGAAGGUAAGUAAUUCUGAUGAAUUGGGUGAGGUGCGUACCUGACGCCGUUCGCCACGAGAUUCUGGGUCCACGGUUGGAAACACCUAAAAGGUCCACAGGUAAGUAUGCAGGUGAAUAUAUGCAAGGGCGAUGCACUGGUAUUUCACUCGGGGCGUACAGGUAAGUAUGCAGAAGGACAACUGGGUCUUUACUUUGGACGUACAGGUGAGUAUACAGGGGCAACUGGAGCUUGACUUUGGGCAUACAGGUAAGUAUACAAGGGCAAUACGCUGGCUCUUAGCUUGAGGCGUACAGAUGGGCGUACAGAUGGGCAUACAGGGGCAACUGGAGCUUUGCUCUGGGCAUGCAGGUGGAUAUACAAUGACAAUACUGAAUGGAUACAACUCACAGACCCUCGAAGAGGUGGACGUCAGGCUUUAGCCCUUUUCAGCUCGGGAGUCUAGAGAAGAUGUAUAUGUCACGACAACUGUGGUCUUCUUCACCAGGGCAGACUUCCCAGACC
ensembl:lncRNA